rnacentral:tRNA from 1 species
GGGGUUGUAGUUCAAAGUAACAUUUAAUUUGCAAUUAAAAAAUAUUAAAACAAAUUUUAAUCCUCCUCA